UUUUGGGACUCCGCGUAUUACGACG
rnacentral:sRNA from 1 species